rnacentral:tRNA from 2 species
CGGGGCGUAGCGCAGCUGGUAGCGCGCAGCGUUCGGGACGCUGAGGUCGCUGGUUCGAGUCCAGUCGCCCCGA